UACAGAGGGGGCAAGCGUUAUUCGGAAUUAUUGGGCGUAAAGGGCGCGUAGGCGCCUGGCAAGUGGAUGGUGAAAUCCCUCGGCUUAACCGAGGAACUGCCAUCCAGACUGCUUGGCUUGAGACCGGGAGAGGUGAGUGGAAUUCCCAGUGUAGCGGUGAAAUGCGUAGAUAUUGGGAGGAACACCAGUGGCGAAGGCGGCUCACUGAACCGGUACUGGCGCUGAGGCGCGAAAGCGUGGGGAGCAAACGGG
rnacentral:rRNA from 1 species